rnacentral:snRNA from 1 species
AAAUUGAAUUGGUUCGCCCAGGGCGAGGCUCAGCCAUUGCACUGCGGUUGUGCUGACCCCUGUGAAUUCCCCACAUGCGGAAAUCUCAACUGCAUAAUUUGUGGUAGUGGGGGACUGCGUUCGCGCUCUCCCCUC